rnacentral:rRNA from 1 species
CCUACGGGAGGCAGCAGUGAGGAAUAUUGGUCAAUGGACGAGAGUCUGAACCAGCCAAGUAGCGUGAAGGAUGACUGCCCUAUGGGUUGUAAACUUCUUUUAUAAAGGAAUAAAACGAGGCACGUGUGCCGUUUUGCAUGUACUUUAUGAAUAAGGAUCGGCUAACUCCGUGCCAGCAGCCGCGGUAAUACGGAGGAUCCGAGCGUUAUCCGGAUUUAUUGGGUUUAAAGGGAGCGUAGGUGGAUUGUUAAGUCAGUUGUGAAAGUUUGCGGCUCAACCGUAAAAUUGCAGUUGAAACUGGCAGUCUUGAGUACAGUAGAGGUGGGCGGAAUUCGUGGUGUAGCGGUGAAAUGCUUAGAUAUCACGAAGAACUCCGAUUGCGAAGGCAGUUCACUGGACUGCAACUGACACUGAGGCUCGAAAGUGUGGGUAUCAAACAGGAUUAGAUACCCGGGUAGUC